rnacentral:lncRNA from 1 species
CUGCCUUGAAUUUUUGAGACAAGGUCUCUUCCUUGCCUGGAACACACCAAGCAAGCGAGGCUGACGACUGCCUAGCAAGCUCCAGGAUCAACUGCCUCUGCUUCUGCAGUGAUAGGAUUACAACUUGAGCCACUGUGCCUGCUUCCUCCCACCCCCACCUUUAAGAUGGAUGGCAGCACCUCUGAGAGCCGAGAAAUCUGACCCAGAGCCAUAGCUGGGCUCAGGACCAGGUGUUCUGGUUUGGUAAUGGCGUCCCCUCCAGAAGACAGCUGAACCUGGGUCUGAAAUGCAUCGGCCAUGUGUCUGUGCUUAGACUCUAUUGUAGUCUUGUAGUCAUUGCUGGAGCGGCGGCGGCAUUUGUGGCUCAAGGGAACUCAAGUUGCUGAU